GAUCCCUUAAUAUGUGAUAACUGAAAAGGUAAAUAAUAUUGUCUAGUGAUGUUUAAUUGCAAAUUUGACGUCUUUACUGGCAAAGUCAUCUUCUCUUGUCUGUUUGUUCAUGCAAAGUGAUGCGAUGUCGUUUUCUUACCCCCU